UGCCAGCCGCCGCGGUAAUACGGAGAGGGCAAGCGUUGUUCGGAAUCACUGGGCAUAAAGAGCACGUAGGCGGAUUGGUUAGUCGGUUGUGAAAGCCCGGGGCUCACCCCCGGAAUUGCUUCCGAAACUGCCAGUCUGGAGGACGAGAGGGGAGAGUGGAACUUCUGGUGGAGCGGUGAAAUGCGUAGAUAUCAGAAGGAACACCGGUGGCGAAAGCGACUCUCUGGCUCGUUUCUGACGCUGAGGUGCGAAAGCUUGGGGAGCGAACGGGAUUAGAUA
rnacentral:rRNA from 1 species